GUGAGGAAUAUUGCUCAAUGGGCGCAAGCCUGAAGCAGCGACGCCGCGUGGGUGAAGAAGGCCUUCGGGUCGUAAAACCCUUUUCUGCGUGACGAGAGAGGACGGUAGCGCAGGAAUAAGUCUCGGCUAACUACGUGCCAGCAGCCGCGGUAAAACGUAGGAGACGAGCGUUAUCCGGAGUUACUGGGCGUAAAGGGCGUGCAGGCGGUUGGUUAAGUCAGAUGUGAAAGGUCCCGGCUAAACCGGGAUAGGUCGUCUGAUACUGGCUAACUCGAGGACGGUAGAGGCGUGUGGAAUUCCGGGUGUAGUGGUGAAAUGCGUAGAGAUCCGGAGGAACACCAGAGGCGAAGGCGACACGCUAGGCCGUACCUGACGCUAAGACGCGACAGCAUGGGGAGCAAACGGGAUUAGAAACCCUGGUAGUCC
rnacentral:rRNA from 1 species